ACAGAAACCAACUUCAACAACGUUGAUAGACGUGGUUUACUGGAUUGAAAGACCCGGUCACUAAAUCUAAAAAAACAUUAUGUGGAACAGACUACGGCUAGAUUGAUUGACAUUACAAGUGAAUAUCUAUAUUAAGUCGUUCUAGCGAUCAAUGCUGGAAAACAAAAUGCAGAUGCUGAGCACGUCAGAAUCUUGAAGAAGAACGAAAAAUAGAUACUUUUGAAAUCAUUCCUGAUUAUACUAUGAUCCUACUUUCACUUUGAGGGACAGACUACAUCGCAGCACUAUUGACCGCUUCGAGCAAUGAUCUGAACUAAGUAACCCGAUCAAUCGAUGUUCGAGAACAAAGUGAAGAGUAAACCAACUGUUACAGUGAAGACAAU